AACAUUAAAUUAAUUCAUGACGCACGGCCAGGCCAACCACAGGUAACUAGGGUCAUGUAUGCAGUAGCCUGCUGUGGAUUAGUAAUACUUACAAGCAAGGUCAAUAAAAA